GUACAUCCAGAGGAACUUAGCAGAGAUGCUUUGGUGCCUUCGGGAACUCUGAGACAGGUGCUGCAUGGCUGUCGUCAGCUCGUGUUGUGAAAUGUUGGGUUAAGUCCCGNAACGAGCGCAACCCUUAUCCUUUGUUGCCAGCGGUUCGGCCGGGAACUCAAAGGAGACUGCCGGUGAUAAACCGGAGGAAGGUGGGGAUGACGUCAAGUCAUCAUGGCCCUUACGGCCAGGGCUACACACGUGCUACAAUGGCGCAUACAAAGAGAAGCGACCUCGCGAGAGCAAGCGGACCUCAUAAAGUGCGUCGUAGUCCGGAUUGGAGUCUGCAACUCGACUCCAUGAAGUCGGAAUCGCUAGUAAUCGUAGAUCAGAAUGCUACGGUGAAUACGUUCCCGGGCCUUGUACACACCGCCCGUCACACCAUGGGAGUGGGUUGCAAAAGAAGUAGGUAGCUUAACCUUCGGGAGGGCGCUUACCACUUUGUGAUUCAUGACUGGGGUGAAGUCGUAACAAGGUAAGCGUAGCGAG
rnacentral:rRNA from 1 species